rnacentral:misc_RNA from 1 species
AGAGACGUUGCCCUUCGGGUAUACCUCCCUAACCCUUGUUGAUACCUACCUUAAGUUGCUUCGGCGGCCGUCCUCGGACCACCGGCUCUGCUGUCAGUGCCCGCCAGAGGACACUAAACUCUGUUUUUUAGACUGGCCUCUGAGUACUAUAGUAAUAAGUUA